AUCGUUGCCCCAAAACGCGUUGCCUCGUUGCAGGCGCGGGUCUGGGCAAAUGCUGGCUUCCCGGGAGCAUCGUCUCGCGGUUGGCUGAAAGUCGAGCCCGCGGUGGAGUGCACCGCGACGGAUGGUGGUUGAGGAGAAAAGCUCGAGACCAGUCGCGCGCGUCGCGCUCCCCUCUUCGGGACUCUGUGACCC
rnacentral:misc_RNA from 2 species